AAGUGUGGAAAUAAAAGUUGAGAAUAGCACGGCAGUAUCGAUCACCUGGAUGAAACCUGAGAAACCAAAUGGAUAUAUUUUUGGAGUAUCAAGUCGUUUACUACGGUUUCAAACCGAAUGUUAAGGUGUCAUCUGAAAUUAGUGUCAUUGAUGGUCCACACACAGUUACAUUGAAAAAUGAAACGAAUACAUUUGUGGUAAUAAGUGGAUUGCAGUCAGGACUAACGUACGAGUUUCUGGUACGUGCCGGCACGAGUGUUGGAUAUGGAGCUAAUUCUACUGCAGCUCGUGCAGAAAUUUUCCCCGGUAAGAAUUUACUUUCACAAAGUAGAUGUAGGAGUGAUAUGAAAUAAUUAUGCUGCUGACACACGCACGAGGGUGAGUUGCCUAUUUAUAUAAAACAUGAGGAUUCUCAUAUAUCACGACGACCCAUUACCAAUCAUGCCUCGAGGCUACGCGACCGUAUAAUAGUAACGCAGAAGAAACUGUAUAAUUAUGACUUUUAUUACACACUUGAUAGCGUGAUAUAAAUUCGUUUGAAAUUCUCUGUUUUCAAAAUUA